CUCUCGGCAACGGAUAUCUCGGCUCUCGCAUCGAUGAAGAACGUAGCGAAAUGCGAUACUUGGUGUGAAUUGCAGAAUCCCGUGAACCAUCGAGUCUUUGAACGCAAGUUGCGCCCGAGGCCACUAGGCCGAGGGCACGUCUGCCUGGGUGUCACGCAACGUC
rnacentral:rRNA from 1 species